rnacentral:misc_RNA from 1 species
UCUCCGUAGGUGAACCUGCGGAGGGAUCAUUACUGAGCGAGGGUCUAACCGCCCGACCUCCAACCCUGUGUGAACCCAUCUUGUUGCUUCGGGGGCGACCCUGCCGGCACUCUGUCGCCGGGCGCCCCCGAAGGUCUCCAAACACUGCAUCUUUGCGUCGGAGUUUAAAACAAAUUAAACAAAACUUUCAACAACGGAUCUCUUGGGUCUGGCAUCGAUGAAGAACGCAGC